GCUUAUUUGGAAAGAUGGAAGAGGAAACUUUUUUAUAGUUUCCUGUUUGAAGAUGAAUAUUCAGAGACUGAAGGAAGAUGAAGAAACUCUUCUUUUCACAAUGAUUCCUCGGCAUAUAUGUCAGAGAAUCAACGAAAACAGAUGCGAUCCUCGAAUAAUUGAGGAUGCGUCUGAAAGUGAAGAUGAAGAGAUUCUUUCUUCAACAAAGAUACAAAGAGAUACAUUUGCCAUGGCAUUUUUAGCUUUGUAAAGAGGGAAGAUGCAUUAUUGUUUCUGAAACAAUUUGAUGGACAUAUCUUCCAAUGUAGCAAAAG